rfam:Oryza rufipogon genomic scaffold, chr10
AAUAAGUGUAGUUUUGCACUAUUCACUUUCAACGUUUGACUGUUCGUCUUAUUUAAAUUUUUUUUAUGAUUAGUAUUUUUAUUGCUAUUAGACGAUAAAACAUGAAUAGUACUUUAUGUGUGACUAAAUAUUUUCAAUUUUUUCACAAAAUUUUUAAAUAAGACGGACGGUCAAACGUUAGACACGAAUAUCUACGGCUGCACUUAUU